ACAAAGGCUCUUUUAAGAGCCACCCACCCACACGAAAAGAGAUGU
rfam:Gasterosteus aculeatus cont1.008693, whole genome shotgun sequence.